rnacentral:rRNA from 1 species
AGGCUUUGAUCCUGGCUCAGGAUGAACGCUGGCGGUAUGCUUAACACAUGCAAGUCGAACGGUCUCUUCGGAGAUAGUGGCGGACGGGUGAGUAACGCGUGAGAAUCUGGCUUCAGGUCGGGGACAACCACUGGAGACGGUGGCUAAUACCGGAUAUGCCGAGAGGUGAAAGGCUAGCUGCCUGAAGAUGAGCUCGCGUCUGAUUAGCUAGUAGGUGUGGUAAGAGCGCACCUAGGCGACGAUCAGUAGCUGGUCUGAGAGGAUGAUCAGCCACACUGGGACUGAGACACGGCCCAGACUCCUACGGGAGGCAGCAGUGGGGAAUUUUCCGCAAUGGGCGAAAGCCUGACGGAGCAAUACCGCGUGAGGGAGGAAGGCUCUUGGGUUGUAAACCUCUUUUCUCAAGGAAGAAAAAAAUGACGGUACUUGAGGAAUAAGCAUCGGCGUACAUCCGUGC